rnacentral:rRNA from 1 species
UACGAAGGGUGCAAGCGUUAUUCGGAAUUAUUGGGCGUAAAGCGCGCGCAGGCGGAUUGAUAAGUCAGGUGUGAAAUCUCGAGGCUCAACCUCGAAACUGCGCCUGAAACUAUUAGUCUAGAGUGUUGGAGGGGGUAGGGGAAUUUCACGUGUAGGGGUAAAAUCCGUAGAGAUGUGAAGGAACACCGGAGGCGAAGGCGCCUACCUGGGCCAAUACUGACGCUCAUGCACGAAAGCGUGGGGAGCAAACAGG